rnacentral:rRNA from 1 species
UACGAAGGGGGCUAGCGUUGCUCGGAAUCACUGGGCGUAAAGGGUGCGUAGGCGGGUCUUUAAGUCAGGGGUGAAAUCCUGGAGCUCAACUCCAGAACUGCCUUUGAUACUGAAGAUCUUGAGUGCGGGAGAGGUGAGUGGAACUGCGAGUGUAGAGGUGAAAUUCGUAGAUAUUCGCAAGAACACCAGUGGCGAAGGCGGCUCACUGGCCCGAUACUGACGCUGAGGAGCGAAAGCCAGGGGAGCAAACGGG